rnacentral:rRNA from 1 species
AUUGAACGCUGGCGGCAUGCUUUACACAUGCAAGUCGAACGGUAACAGGCCGCAAGGUGCUGACGAGUGGCGAACGGGUGAGUAAUGCAUCGGAACGUGCCCAGUCGUGGGGGAUAACUACUCGAAAGAGUAGCUAAUACCGCAUACGAUCUAUGGAUGAAAGCGGGGGACCGUAAGGCCUCGCGCGAUUGGAGCGGCCGAUGUCAGAUUAGGUAGUUGGUGGGGUAAAGGGUCACCAAGCCAACGAUCUGUAGCUGGUCUGAGAGGACGACCAGCCACACUGGGACUGAGACACGGCCCAGACUCCUACGGGAGGCAGCAGUGGGGAAUUUUGGACAAUGGGCGCAAGCCUGAUCCAGCAAUGCCGCGUGCAGGAAGAAGGCCUUCGGGUUGUAAACUGCUUUUGUACGGAACGAAACGGCUCUGGUUAAUACCCGGGGCUAAUGACGGUACCGUAAGAAUAAGCACCGGCUAACUACGUG